rnacentral:lncRNA from 1 species
GAAAGAGGAAUGAGGGUAAAUUAUCAGGCAGGACACAUAAUAAAGAUUCUUUUAAUUACUGAUGAAACUGUAAAAUUUUGUAGAAACUGUUUUCUCUCACUUCUAACUUUAAUCCAAAGCUCGCUGAGAUAAUGAAAACAAACACAACUGAUAACGAAAUGUCAGCGCUCACCACCUCCCAACCCACCCCUCUCACCGUUGGAUUUCUUAUCAGAUAGGUUAUGUCAAAUUGUUUACAUGCUGUAAAACUGUAAAGUGACUGAAAUUGACAGCGUCAGUGAAAAAUUAUUGCAUCCACUACAGUACUACAGUAUUUUGGCAAUUUUUAAUCUGUUUAAUGUGGUUGUAGGAUGUAGGUACUACGUAUUUUGCCUCUUCUACAUCGAAGUCAUCAAUGGAGUCUUGACUAUUAUUUUCCUCGCAAGUAUAAUUGCAGUGUUAAUAAUUUUAAGAGAUUCGCUGUCAUUCUCCAGUAUGAGAAUGUCUAGUGAAGAAAUGCGGGAGGCUCGACGCCGUAAAAUCCUCGAAAACUCAGAAUCUAGACUGAACAAAAUUCUGAAACGAAGCCCAGAACCAGUUUCAGAGGAAAAGGUGGAAGCUACAAAAAUCACAGAACCUACAAAGAAAAUUUACUCUGUGAACAAUGAUGCAAGAUCAACCUUUCCCUUGCCUGCCUCCACUAACGAAGACGUAUUUCGGCUCAAAGAAGAAACCUCUGAACCUUCUCCCUGUAAAUUUCAAAAAGGGAAAACUAGCGACAGCUUCAACUACCUUAGGAAAUACUUUGUAAUUCUAGCAGUGGUGGUGUAUUUAAUUGUGGCUCAAGGUGGAAAUAAACUUCCCAGUAAAUCCAUAUUCACACCUUUCGCAACCCUGGGUAUUGUGAAACAAUCACUGAUAUUCAGGUACAAAGAACCGUCAUCUUCAUUAUACCUACAAAUAUUAAUUUUGUAUGGUGUGAACGCAAAGCUGCUGUUAAGGCUGUCCAGAGUUCUGAACAUUUUAUAUGAUUUUUUUGUAGACUUUUGUGUCUAUUUUUUCACAUUUGUUUUGCUGCAUUUUGUUUCGGAGGCCUUGAUUUUCUCUCGAUGA